rnacentral:lncRNA from 1 species
GCUUCUCUAUGGAUACUCAUGCCUAAGUCACUAGAUCUUCCAUUUGGCUCUACCCUGCAAAGGUCAUUUCAAGAUUUUCUCUACUUCCAAGCACAAAACAUUUAAUUCCUUCUAGGAGUCCUUUGUGACCCCUGGAGAAGAAAAGCUACUUGGAAAGGAGAAAAGAAUUGGGAGAAUAUCUAAAUCUCUUCUAUAUAUGAGGUGAAGGGCCAUGCCUGGCAGACUACAUGGGGAAUCAGAGGAUCAAGAGGAGUGAAGAGAGGAUCCCUGGAGGAAUGCCCGUCCUCCCUCCACUGACAGCAGCCACAGUUACUAACAGGGUCUUUCUGAUGAGGAGAAUCUGACAGGACCCAGUUGAGCAAGGACUGGAACUGCUUUUGGGGAAUAGGAAAGACAACUGAAAACAAAAAGCCUACCUGAACCUCUUCCAAAAAAAAAGGGAAUACAUUGGAGAAAAAAACACAGUAGUUGAAAUUUCAGUCCUCAGUGGUGGAAAGUUGCUACUGGUCUGUAAGUAGGUCUUUUUCUCUCACCCUUCAACCACAUCAUUGCCUU